UACUCCUACGGGAGGCAGCAGUGGGGAAUUUUACGCAAUGGGCGAAAGCCUGACGUAGCGACACCGCGUGAGCGAAGAAGCCCUUUGGGGUGUAAAGCUCUUUCAGCUGGGAAGAUAAUGACGGUACCAGCAGAAGAAGCCCCGGCUAACUCCGUGCCAGCAGCCGCGG
rnacentral:rRNA from 1 species